rnacentral:snoRNA from 1 species
UUAUUUAAAAUGAUGAUAUGUUUUAUUUUUCAAAUGAUACAAGUGUAAAUUGAUUAUACAAAACAAACAACAAAAUAGUCUUUCACCCCUAUCUGAUUAGAGUU